rnacentral:rRNA from 1 species
ACGAACGCUGGCGGCGUGCUUAACACAUGCCAGUCGAACGGAAAGGCCCUGCUUUUGUGGGGUGCUCGAGUGGCGAACGGGUGAGUAACACGUGAGUAACCUGCCCUUGACUUUGGGAUAACUUCAGGAAACUGGGGCUAAUACCGGAUAGGAGCUCCUGCUGCAUGGUGGGGGUUGGAAAGUUUCGGCGGUUGGGGAUGGACUCGCGGCUUAUCAGCUUGUUGGUGGGGUAGUGGCUUACCAAGGCUUUGACGGGUAGCCGGCCUGAGAGGGUGACCGGCCACAUUGGGACUGAGAUACGACCCAGACUCCUACGGGAGGCAGCAGUGGGGAAUAUUGCACAAUGGGCGGAAGCCUGAUGCAGCAACGCCGCGUGCGGGAUGACGGCCUUCGGGUUGUAAACCGCUUUCGCCUGUGACGAAGCGUGAGUGACGGUAAUGGGUAAAGAAGCACCGGCUAACUACGUG